CAGGGCGAAUGUCUUGUAAUUGGAAUGAUGGUGACCCAAACCCUCACCAGAGUAGCAAUUGGAGGGCAAGUCUGGUGCCAGCAGCCGCGGUAAUUCCAGCUCCAAUAGCGUAUAUUAAACUUGUUGCAGUUAAAAAGCUCGUAGUUGUAUUUUUGCGUUAGCGGUUUGACCAUUUGGUUGGUUAUUUCGUUUUCGCUUUUGGGAAUUUCCCUUUUUACUUUGAGAAAAUUAGAGUGUUUCAAGCAGACUUUUGUCUUGAAUACUUCAGCAUGGAAUAAUAGAGUAGGACUUUGGUUCUAUUUUGUUGGUUAUUGAACCUUAGUAAUGGCUAAUAGGAACGGUUGGGGGCAUUCGUAUUUAACUGUCAGAGGUGAAAUUCUUAGAUUUGUUAAAGACGAACUACUGCGAAAGCAUUUGCCAAGGACGUUUCCAUUAAUCAAGAACGAAAGUUAGGGGAUCGAAGA
rnacentral:rRNA from 1 species